AGCUACUCGGAAGGUGGCUGGGAGGUUGGGGCUGCAGUGAGCCAUGAUCAUGCCACUGCACUCUACCCUGGGUGACAGAGUGAGACUGUUAUAAAACAAACAAACAAGAAAAAACCUUUCCCCAAGGGCUCAGUGGUCUGGGAGAGAGGGCAAGAAGCUAAAACAAGAUCUCUGCAACCAGAUAUUCUGAUUCCUUUGGCCUUGGUAAUGGGGUAUAAAAGAACACCCAAUACUGCAUUAACGUACUGUGGCUGUGUUUUCCAAAAAGGCCACAGCGACACUUCUAGUCUCAUAUGCUCUUGCAGAACCUUGCCACCCACUACCAAGAAGUAGAGUCUGUUUCCUCUCCUGCUGAAGCUGAGCAGGGCUUGGUGGCCGCCUGUAAUGUGAUGGAAGUGACACCGGCGUGACCUGCAAGGGCGAGGUCGCAGCCUACGAUAGCAGUUCUUCCUGGUCCACACUCUCAGGCUGCUCAUCCUAGGAACCCUGGUACCAUGUUAUGAGAGGCUUAGACCACUGGAGAGGCCGUGUGUAGCUGUCAUGGCCCAUCAGGCCCCCAGCCAGCAUCAACUGCAACAUGAGACCGUGAGCCUUCAGAUGACUGGCUCCAGCUUUCCAGUCUUCCCAGCCGAGGCCUCAGGCUUCGAGGAGCAGAGACAAGCCUUCACUGUGCCCUGCCUGAAUUCCUGACCUGCAGAAGUGGUGAGAAUAAGUGGUUGUUUAACGCCACUAAAUUUCUGAGUGAUCUGUUACGGAAAAAGCACUUAAACAUAAAAAGGUCCUAUCUGGCCUCUAUUGAAAGUAACAUAUGCAUUGUUCUGGGUUUCAUGUUUUGAUUCUUUGCACAGGGAAGUUGAAAUCUAUCCAGAGGACAGUGACAAGCACAGGUGUGAGAGAGACACCAUCUGUGACCUGCACCUGGGGGUCUGGCUUCAAAAUGUGUCCUCAGCGGAUACUCUUGGGAUGGCUCAGCUAAAAGGCAGCUGUCACCUCUGAGAGGCUUGUUACUGAAUAUUAUACGACGAAACCACCCUGGUGGCCAAACUUUGAGAAUGGCUUGAUAAACACCCACCUCCAUUCUACAUCACUGGCGUUCUGUUCCUUCUGAAUCCUCUGCAGACUAGAGGCUCUAACGGAGCUAAGUGCUGGGCCUGGAGGUUCCAUGCUCUGCUUCAGGUCAAUGAAGAAUGCCAGUGACAGAGGCGCUUGUGAGAGCUCUUGGUUUUGGUUUUCCAGUAGCCACAGAAACCAGGAAGGAGCAGAAGGAAGACACGGAACUGCCUCCACCCUCCUCUCAUCCCCUACCCCGAGCAGCUUGUAAGAAUCAUUUACUCAUGUUUCCUGUAAGACUCCAUUUGAACAGAGAGUUCUACCAGCAAAUACGUCUACAUAUUGAUUUUUCUUAAAAUGAAAUGCGGCCGCUCUUCAGUGCCACAGCAGAGGUAGGUCCUUUUGAGUUUGGAAUGCUCAUAACACCCACCGUGUGCUUUGUGACAAUGCAAUUAUCUGAUCACUUUUCUCUACCCAAGCUACUAUCCUGCUGGCCUCAGAAGGAUGAGAGGCAGGUGGACAGCGCUGUCACACUGCAGUUACCCCAGCUGAAGCCAGCAGCCAACCCCCAGCCACAGAAGGAAGCCUGAUCUAUAACGAGCAGAGCCAAUCGCCAGCUGACCUCAGUCAUGCACCACCUUAGGAACUGGACAGCCCGUGGUGACCUGGACAGAAAGGUGGCAGCCCCUCUGCACUUCAGGUCUUGGUGGAGAAGGCCCACCAUAACAGUGUAGCUACAAAAUGUGGAGUAUCAGAGGGUCCCACCACACUGACUUUAAUCCAACGAAGGGACAGCUCUGUUCUGGACUCCGCACAAAUGUCGAGGUCACGAAGAACAAGAAAGAUUGAGAACGUGUUCCAGAUUGAAGGAAAUUAGAGAUGUGACACUGAAUACACCUUAUGAUCUGGGAUGGGAUCCUAGACCCCAGGACAUUAGUGGCAAGAUCUGAGUAAGCCUCGUAGGUAAGAUGAUAGCACUGCUGUCAUUAACUUCCUGAUUUAAGUAACUGCACUGCUGCUCUAUAAUAAAGGGUCUUUCUUAGAAAAUGCAUGCUGAAGAACUGAUGGCCAAAAGAGCAUGAUGUCUGCAACUCACUCUCAAAUGGUUUCUAGAAAAAAGUAAUAGCAUGUAUACAAAUGGAAAACGAUCAAACAAAUAGAAAACGGUAACAAGUGGAGAACCUGAGGGAAGGGGAGAUGGGCAGUUCUUUGUACUGUUCUUGAAAAGUUUUUGUAAGCCUGGGAUUAUUUAUAAACAAAAAGUUACAAAAAUAUAUAAUUAAGAGACUUAAAUCAUCCAAUACUUCUACAAACACUAAAAAGAUAGCACCCAAUUCACAAGUAGUGGAUUAAGCAAUGCUAACUUGACCACUUUAAUACAUAUGUAUUUGAGCUGCAGUAGGCUCGUCUUGAAAGAUUCUACUGGGAAAUAGUAAGAUUUAUUUGGCAUUCUGAUGGUUUGGGGAAUCUGGGGAUACUUCAUCAUCUGUGGAAGGCUAGAAGCAGUGCUUCUUUGGAACGUGCUUCCCAUCUGUCGCCCCACCCUGCCAUCUGAGAACCACUCUCUGAUGUUUUCUUCUGUCUUCAUUGUUCUGUUUUUCUCAGCAGAAAUUCAAGGACUGCUUCUCUCAUUGAAUAAGCUAUUAAGGACAAAGAUGUACUCAAAGCGGACUGAGACGUCACUGCCAGUCCGAGAGGCAGACAGUGUGGCCAUCACUUUUCUGAAAGUUAAUUCCUAGAAAUGAGCAAAGCACCCUAAAAGGAGAAAAAUGAAAUGUCUGCAGUCUACAAUGUUGAAGAUUUUUAGAAUCUGACUGCAAUGGAAAAUGUUUAAUGGGCUGUAUUUAUUUCUUUAUUUUUUCUUGAGAUAGAGUCUCACUCUGUCGCCCAGGCUGGAGUACAGUGAUGGGAUCUCGGCUCAGUGCACCCUCCGCCUCCCGGGUUCAAACGAUUCUCUU